rnacentral:lncRNA from 1 species
GGAGAUGGCAUGGUGGUAUGGCAGUCCCAGGGCCUCAGAGAGAGCAGACAGACACUGGAGAUCCAGGCAAGAGUAGCUCAAGAUGAGUCGUUCAUUGAGUUUCACCAUGGGGAGAUGGCCAUUGUGAAUCAGCCAUAGUCAACACUCUUUGAGGUAGAACUGAUGAGCUUUGCAGAUGCCUCAGCAGAAUUACUCCUGGACAAGUGUUGGGUGUCAGAGUCACCAGAAUUUGAUGGCAGCCCCCAGUGGAACAUAAUAAAUAGCUGCAAAAAAGAGAAUAACCUGCUAGAGGUAGACUUUUACCCUGUCUCCCAGGGUGAGAAGGUCCAAUACCCCUCAUUGGUCAAGAAGCUGGUGAAGUUUGUGGCACCCAGAUUCAAAGAGGUGUAUCUGUACCACCUGACCCAAUCCUGCCUACACUUGGACCCUGACGGGCAUUGUGGUGGCCAGUACUAUCCAGAGGAGAGAGAAGGAGUGACUCCAGGACUUAUAUGCCCACAAGCCAAAAGAAGAUCAAGAUCUGAGUGGGAACUGUGGAAAGCAUGUCAUGCGAGCCCCUGCCGCCCUUGAAACUCUGCGUUCCUCCUCCUCAAAGAACAGUGCCUGAAGGUCCUGGCUGUGGCCCUGGCUGGCCAUCUUGCUUCCUGGUCACGGUGGUGGCC